rnacentral:tRNA from 1 species
GGGGCUUAGCUCAGCUGGGAGAGCGCCUGCUUUGCACGCAGGAGGUCAGCGGUUCGAGUCCACUUAGGCCCACCA